AGUAGAAUGGCUGAAUCAUAUGGUAAGUGUAAUUUUAACUUUCUAAGAAACUGCCAAACUGUUUUCCAAAGUGGUUGUACCAUUUUACAGUUCUACUAGCAAU
rnacentral:pre_miRNA from 4 species